UUUAAUUAUGCAAAUUAACUGUGAAAUUGGGAUAAAGCAUAUUUAGUUAGUUAAUAUUUUGUAAAGGUUGCUUUGCAAGUAUGUGACAAAGUAGCAUCAUAAAAAGAUCUUUGUCUUCUGUUUCCUUUAGAGAAGUGUGACAGUUGGCAGCAGUUCAGCUUGUUCCCAUCCAAAUCUUCUGAGAUAAGUUAUGGUUCCUAUGAAUUCUUUGGUCUUGGUGCCACACAUGCUGGACAAGAUGGAAGUUCUUGUGAUGGCACACAAACUGCUGCUCUGAUCGAUGAUGUGCUGUUAGACUGCCGUUUGCCUUAUCUAGGUUCCACGAGGAGGUCCAGGUCACCAUAUUCAGACGGUAAUAGCAGUCAGUACACCUCCUUCAGUGAUCUCUCGGGCUCAUCCACUUUAUUUGACACGCCAUGCGUGAAGCCUGGACCUAUAGGCUCACGUGGGAGAGGAGGAGAUACUGCUGCGAUAUGUAGAAUGAAAAGCAGAGGGGUGAGUAUGAUAAUGUGAAGAUAAAGAAUACAAGGGUGCAGGAAUUGAUGGCAAAAUCAAAUGCACAGGUGUGAUUAAAUGUUGUUUUAGCCUAUAGAUGAUUUCUACUCAAGUAAAUGUGCUAGGUACAUUUUAGUCUACUUUUACCCAAGCUUUUUCUUUGUCAUUCUUCUUAUUCUUAGUGUAUUUUAUUGGCC
ensembl:lncRNA